GUCUUAUUGAAUUAAAUAAUAAGUUUAUUCUGCCCAUUGAAUUAAAAUUUAAAAGGCUGCAGUAUAUUGACUGUACAAAGGUAGCAAAAUCAAUAGUUUUUUAAUUGAAAACUUGAAUGAAAGAAUUGAUAAAAUAUAAACUGUCUCAAAUUAAUUAAAUUUGAAUUUAAAUUGAAAGUUAAAAUGCUUUUAUAAAUUUAUUAGACGAUAAGACCCUAAGAAUUUUAAAAUAUAAAUUUAUAUAAUAAAUUUUGUAAUUUUUAAAUAUAUAAAUUUAUAUUUUUUUAUUGGGAGGGUAAUUAAAUUUUUUAACUUUAAUUUUUUAUUAACAUAGAUGAAUGAAUAUUAAUGAUAAUUUUUAUAAUUAUGAGAAUUAAUUACCUUAGGGAUAACAGCGUAAUAAUUUUGGAAAGUUCAUAUUAAUAAAAUUGAUUGCGACCUCGAUGUUGAAUUAAAAUAAAAAUUAGGUGAAGAUGCUUAAAUUUUUAGUCUGUUCGACUAUUAAAAUUUUACA
rnacentral:rRNA from 1 species